AGAGUUUGAUCCUGGCUCAGGAUAAACGCUGGCGGCGUGCCUAAUACAUGCAAGUCGAUCGAUAGAAGUCCAGCUUGCUGGACGGAAAUAGAGGCGAACGGGUGAGUAAUACGUAAGCAACCUGCCCACGAAGACCGGGAUAAUCCCUGGAAACGGGGACUAAGACCGGAUAGGUACACAGAUCGCAUGAUCAGUGUAUUAAAGGAGAGAGACACUGGUGGAUGGGCUUACGGUGCAUUAGCUGGAUGGUGAGGUAACGGCCCACCAUGGCGAUGAUGCAUAGCCGGGCUGAGAGGCUGAACGGCCACAUUGGGACUGAGACACGGCCCAGACUCCUACGGGAGGCAGCAGUAGGGAAUUUUCGGCAAUGGGGGCAACCCUGACCGAGCAACGCCGCGUGAGUGAUGAAGGUCUUCGGAUUGUAAAGCUCUGUUGUAAGGGAAGAACGGCAUCUAGAGAAUAGGUGAGUGACGGUACCUUACCAGAAAGCUACGGCUAACUACGUGCCAGCAGCCGCGGUAAUACGUAGGUAGCGAGCGUUAUCCGGAAUUAUUGGGCGUAAAGGGUGCGUAGGCGGCCUGUUAAGUUUAUGGUGAAAGCGUGGGGCUCAACCCCAUAAAGCCAUAGAUACUGGCAGGCUAGAGUACUGGAGAGGGUAGUGGAAUUCCAUGUGUAGCGGUAAAAUGCGUAGAUAUAUGGAGGAACACCGGUGGCGAAGGCGGCUACCUAGACAGAGACUGACGCUGAGGCACGAAAGCGUGGGGAGCAAAUAGGAUUAGAUACCCUAGUAGUCCACGCUGUAAACGAUGAAUGCUAGGUAUCGGGGCGACCCGGUGCCGAAACUAACGCGAUAAGCAUUCCGCCUGUGGAGUAUGCACGCAAGUGUGAAACAUAAAGGAAUUGACGGGGGCCCGCACAAGCGGUGGAGUAUGUGGUUUAAUUCGACGCAACGCGAAGAACCUUACCAGGCCUUGACAUCCCUUGCAAAAUCCUGGAGACAGGACAGAGGUUAUCAAGGAGACAGGUGGUGCAUGGUUGUCGUCAGCUCGUGUCGUGAGAUGUUGGGUUAAGUCCCGCAACGAGCGCAACCCUUGUCUUUAGUUACUAACAUCAAGUUGAGGACUCUAGAGAGACUGCCGGUGAUAAACCGGAGGAAGGUGGGGAUGACGUCAAAUCAUCAUGCCC
rnacentral:rRNA from 1 species